CUAAGAAGAUGGUGUCCGAUCCGAUCAUACUUGCGACAAUAUUUUUGUCCACGUGGCAACAUGCAAACAAUGAUGAACCAAUCUGUCAUCGAUCGAUAGGUUUGCUUAAUGGCGAGGCAAAAGUACUUGCGACGAUCGCGGUUCCUCUGCGAAACGAUCGGAUCUCUUCGGACGACUCCCGGAAGCUCUCCUCCCACGACGAAGCCCCUCAACCCCGAGGAGACUGUGGAGCGGGUUCUCCGACGCCGUUAAUUAGACCCCGAAGUGGGACUCCGCUAGACGGACCGUGAUCUGAGGUGGAAUUAGGCAAAGGAAGCUCUUGGAAUUUGUGGAUGAACUACAUAUCAGUGCUAACCGUGGAAUUGCUUAUUGCUCAUUUGGUGUCGACAGGAAUUUGGUUCCAAGGUAACAAAGACAAAUAAAGUUCAUACGACUGCAGAUCAAUUAAAAGUUAGCAUUUAAGACUUUGAGCAUUUUCAUGUUUCGUGUUUCUAUAUUAUAUCAGGAUUUUAUCUCAUGGUCUUUAGUUUUUGGCAUAAUUCGACAAUCGGGGUGUACUAUCAAAUGCCUUGUUGUUAAGCUUAGCAUGGAUGGAGAGCCAUACCUAAGAAAAGUUAUCUAAAAACUGUUCCAGCAUUAAGGAGCAUUCUUCGGCACCCGAGAAGAUGUUUACCUGAUUUACUAUGGGUGAGCUAUGUCAUUUUCCAAUGCAUUGGAACAACUUUUUCGGUCUUCUCUAUUGCUUGCAAAUAAUUACAUGACUUGGUAGCUUCAAUUCUUUGUUUGCUUUAAAGAAUUUGAGAUCAGUGGUACAUGCUAUAUAACUGGUAUGUGCUCUAGAGUUGUGAAGCCUUAGAAACUGAUCUCUUGGAUUAGAAGGGAGAUAUUAGCAAUUUUAAUUAAAGUGCUAUAGCGGGCGCUUUAUGGUAAGUCAUGAUUACAAGUGCCUAAUACUGUUGCAGAUAUCGUUACUGUGUUCGUUAUUUUAUUAUACCAAAGUUAGUUAAGGUGCUUUUAUUUGUUUCUUUGUUUCUGUUCUAGUGGGUUUUAUGGGAUACUUUAAUGUAUUGAUGUUGAGCUGACUGAAUAGUUUGGGUAUUUUUCUUUUUUUGGAGCCUUGUCGUCAUAUACAACUGCUUAUAUAUGUAGUUUUGCAACAAAGAUGGACAAUCUUUUCAUUAUGUUUCUCUUUACAUUUAAUUCUGUUGAUGGCAAACCUAAAUAAGUUCUCAUUGUUAUCAGAUCCAUAUUGUGUCUACUCAAGUAAUAUUGUAUAUUCUUGAUUUUAGGUGUCUGUUGUCAAAUAUUAAGCUAUUCUGACCCAUGUAUUAUUUUACCAUGUCAUGCCCCCAUUGGCAAUUAGUUCUUGGAAUAGUAUUUUCUAUCAGCAUGUGAUGUGCCAAUGCAUGCACAACGACAUAAGCAUGCAUAGUAAAUGGAAAAAGAAAAUCAUAACAGACAGGAAGAAAAGACAAAGUAACCUUUUAUAGUCUAUUGUACAACAUGCCUUCCAGCACAAUCAGAGAUUCAGAAUGUAAACUUGUGCACUUAUAUAGAUGCACGGGAAUUCAUGGUAUAAUCAUGAGUGCCAAAGUUCUUACCUCACAAGAGUUCCCAGUUGAAUGAUGCAUUACCAUCUAAGCUUCUUGGAUUAUUGUUGUACGACGAGAGCUUUGCUUGUGCCUGUAUUUCUUGCUGUCUGGCCAAUGAAUUUCAGAUGGAACAACAUACAGACUACAGAGAAGGGCGAAGCUAGGGUUGGAUGAUGGAUCUUUAUCAAGGGUCUGAGUAUGUACUUAUGAAGACAAGAGAUGGGUAUUGGAUGCUCAUCAUCAAUAUACCUUCAGAAAUGUUUAGUAAUCGUUGCAGAAGGCUGAGGAUCAUGAAGAUUUCAGAUCUGGAAUUUCGUAUGUUUUAAUAUGACUAGUGAUCCUAUUCACUUCAGCCUUGAUCCUCAGAUGAGUAAUUAACAAGCAUGUCAAUUAUAAUUCCAUCUCUCAGCUUAAGUAUGGUAUUUGUCCUUGGUACUGAUUAGUAGUGGGUCCUUUAUUCUCCUUUGUUGAUGCACGUUGUUAUCAUGAAUUUGUUUUUGAAAAAUAUAUGGUCAGGUAUUGAAAUCCAUCGUCUGAUACACAAACUGCAGAUGAGUUCUCUCCUUUCAUAUACUUGAAGAAAGCAUAGUUUAACUUUUACCAAGAAUUGAGAACAAUCUAUGCUUUUAUAGUAUAUGCAUCACCAGUGAACUAAUUACUUUUCUGAUCUUGGAUAUUGUUGUAUCCUAGCUGCUUGAAUAUUAUAGAUUCAACUCAAAAUUAUCAUAACCCAUCAGCUGGUCAUAGAUACUAUGAAAUAACAUUGAUCUCCAUGUUCUUAUGACCAUGUGCUAUAUAUAUUAAGAACUUUAGAUUCAUUGAAGCUUUUAUUUGCAUCUAUAGACAUAAAUUCAUUGAAGAAUUUUAGAUCUCUAGUCAAAAAACUACAGGGUGAUCUCUUGCAAUUUCUGCUAGUAUGAUCUUAUUUUCAUGCAUGAUUGAUCCCAUUCCCAGCACCAAGGGCCACGAUGAAGUGUCAGAGCUGGCUGGGACUAGCAACAUCUUGGAAGAUCAGCUUGGUGCAUUAUAACCUUAUGACCGCAUGGUACUUCCUGAAAUAAAAAAGUGUUCUUUUGAGAUGGAUUUUAUCUAUAUGACACAUUCUAUUGCAUGUGGACUGAAAUUCUUGCAACAUAGUUCUUGUUCAAUGGCAUGGUGCUAUCAUUGGCCCUUUACCUGUAUCUUUCCGAUAGUAAACAUUUCAAUUGAGUCAGUCUCCAUCCUUUUUCCUUUUCAUAUAAGAAAGCAUCAAUUGCAAGGCAUACCUGACGUGGUACAUCAAUGACAACUACCAGCUAUCUGAAACAUCAAACUGUUGUAGAACAGACCUCAAGUUUGGGGCUGUCUAUUCAUCCAUCAUUAGUCUUCCUCAGAUGAAACAAAAUAGACUGGAUUAAACAUGUGAUAUGAUGUUGUGCUUGUCUUUGAUGUUCAUCUAUCCAGGGUUUCUUGAUGGUUUCCUCGAUAUGAUCUCUGAUAUUUACUGCUACCAUAACAUUUUGUGUGCCUAUCCAUUAUGGUGGCAACUUUUAAUAUCCUGUCCUUGAUCUAAUGUUCAAAUUAUAAUAUUAUAUUUGUCCAUGUGGAGUAAGUACCAUUGUUAAUUAUGAGCUAACAUGCAAUGUUUCCGAAACAGAGAAGUCAUGUCAAUAGCAUUAUACAGUGUGAAAGAUAAUAUACAGCAUGCAUUCAGAAUAUUGCAUUGUUCCCUUCUCCACUAGCGGUCAUCAUCUCAUUAUGUCGUUCUCCAUCAUUUUUAUAUGACUACAGCAUCUCUGUCUUCCUAAAAACUGCAACCAUGCUGAUCAGCAUGAGAUGUAUCGCAUGAGAAAAGCUUCGGUGUUGUGAGACCAGCAAAUGUAGCGAACAAGAUGGACCCAUGUACGUGUUCUUUGGAUUCCUGCUCAGUGCACUCUGAUGAAAGCUUGGGCAAUUACCUGAAAGUGUCAGGCUUUUGCCUUGCUCUCUCCCAGUUCUUCAGUGAGUGUUUACCUUCCACGUCCAGGUUAAUAAAUUAUUGUGGCUGUCACAUCAUGCUGACAUGACCAUGAUGCAGUAUCGUAUGAGUAAUUAUUGGUCCAGCAUUGCAUCAUUAUCAUUGAUUGUCACAUCAACAUGAUGUAUUUAUUUAUCACAUUGUUAUCAUCUGACUGUCACAUCAUUUGUUACUCAGAGAGGGCAGUUUUAUCUUUUGGCAUGUAUGAUCAACUUAAUUAGAUGCUUAAUUACAUUUAA